UCAGUAAGAGCCCUGAGAGAUGAUCAGGUAGAUAGGUUAGAAGUGGAAGUGUGGCGACACAUGUAGCGGACUAAUACUAAUAGCUCGAGGACUUAUCCAAA
rnacentral:rRNA from 1 species